UUAGACAUACUUAAUUUAAUUUAGAAAACUAGGUUGUUUGUACGCUUUACAUAGCAAAUAUCAUGAUCUGUACUGGGAAGGCAAAAGGCACCGAAUUGUAGGAAUGGCCAAGUUAUGAUUUUCUAAAAACUGGUAGUGGAAUGUGCAAGCACUUUUUUCCUUUUUUUACUAACUCACAGACUUCAGUUUGUGUUUACACAUUUUAGUACACGCAUACAAACGCAUUCCACUCUUUUAACGACACAAUCAAAGAAAAACUAAUACAAUGACAAACCAUGGGAAAUCUCGAGUACCAAGGAAUGUUUGGAAUAUAUUACUUACUACAACCUUUGUACGGGUUUUAUGGCAUAUGGAUUUCGCCAACUGUUGGUUAUUGUUCAAAUUACCAAGUUAUAAGUUAUACAAGUUAUAAGUUCAAAUGGACUUUUUUUCUGAAAGGGUGUCAGAUUGUCGGCCAUGUUAGAAACGAUUCUCAUUUUCGUUCUGCAGUUGAGGGAUGUUGGGCAUUUAGAGAAUCAUGUCGCGAAUUUCUUUUGUUUUCUAAUUUUUUUUUAUUUCGUUUUAUCAUUCAACACUUAUUUCGCUUCUUAAAUGGAAGUCAGUGGGUUGUUAUGAAGCCAAGGCUGCAGUAUGGCAGGAGAGCAUCACAUGAGUUUAGAUGUGAACUGACUUCGAGGGAAUCUACUGGAAUGCCGACUGAAUUGAGCUCUCAGGAUGGCACUGGCUUGUCAUUCACUUUACAGCCUGAGCUCGUGACGAGUUCAAGAACAGCCAACACUGUGGAGAACACCGAUGACCGAGUCUCCAUUGACAGCUCAUUAACAGGAGAAGAACACGGCACUCGUUCAGCUUCCCGCAGGCUGAGACCUGCAGGCAUCAGCCACUCUCACUCUCACAGCCGCAGCCGCUCUCACAUACAUGCUGAGGCUUCCUGCUCACACACAGAUCUUGAAGCCGGGGAACACAGUGCUUCAAUCUCAGAUUUGCGUUACCUCAUUUGCUGGGUGCAGAAAAGUCUCCCUUUCAUCAUUAUCAUUUGUUCAAAACUAAUUUUACAGCAUGCCCUGGGAUUGGCGGUUGGAGUGGGUCUGUUUAUAACCUUUCUGCAUGUAAAUAAAAAUAUCCAAGCACAAGUUGUUCUCCAGGAUCGUCGGUCAAAGCUUCAAUGUUUCUGUGUUUUGUCCUUCCUAAUGGCUUCCUCCUUACUUUUAUAUUACACAUUUGAGAUGGAUUCACUUUAUUACUGCCUCAUCCUCAUGAAUCCUCGUGUUGAGCCUAUGGAUAUCUGGAAAGUUUUCUGGACUGUGGGAGUAACCAGUUUCAUAGUGAAGUUCGUCUUUAUGGGAUUAAAGUGCCUUAUACUUCUUCUCCCUUCCUGUGUCAUGGUGUACAGGAGACGGGGUCAGUGUUACAUGUUCAUAGAAGAACUUGGGCAGUUUUAUCAAGUAAUCACUCCUGUGCCUCCCUGGUUCCAUUACUUGCUUACAUCCAAAAUGGUUGAUGACUCUCUGGAAGUUACCAUGGAUAUUCUUUUAGCCUUGCUUUACAUCAUUCUGAAGCUUCUGGAAAUUUACAGUCGGUGGGGAUCCCUGCAGAAUGCAGUACAGAACUUUCUCACUUUAGAGUAUGAACUCUUAAUUUUCCACUUGUGUAUAGGUGAAUGGGACUCCUGCAUCUCAGUCCCAGUGCUGUAGUGCUGGGGAUCUUUGUCUUAUCUGUCAGUCCAAUUUUAAGCAACCUCGAGUUCUGUUGUGUCAGCAUAUCUUCUGCGAGGAAUGCAUGGUGCUGUGGUUCAAUCAGGAAAAGACCUGCCCCCUCUGCCGUACCAUCAUCACAGAUAGGGUACACAAAUGGAAAGGUGGUGCAACCUCAGCUUAUUUACAAAUAUACUAAAAUAUGUCAUACCUAAAUAUCUAAUGAAGAUAACUCUACCAAAAAAAUACACUGGGGAGAUGAGUCAAAAAAUUGAUAUACCAUGAAAGAAUAAAUGUACAUUCAUAACAAAGGGUAAUGUGCCUUAACCAGGUCUUUCCUCGUUUAUGUGGGCCUCAUUUUGUCAAGCUAUGUAGGAACAUCUAUGCCUGAAUUAAUUGUAUGAGCAUCUGUCAUGCCAUCUUGAACUCUUGCUCCUAAAUCACUUAUUACUGUAUACUCACACUACACAAAAAAAAAACUGCUUGCUUUUAAGCAACAGCAUCUUGUCAAUUUUACACAGCUUUGUUUCAGUUUAGCCCCCACCCCACCAAUCUGGCUGGGAACUCUAGCAUAAAUGUUUAGCUCAAAUUGGCUUACACAAACUGAUGUUUGAAGAACAGACAUUUAUUAUAAGAAAUAUUUGUGAAGAUCUUAAAGCAUCAUUGUAACAUGCUGGAGUGCUCCCCUCAAUAGUUACUUAUUAACAGCCUUUUUAAACUAUUCAGGUGGCUUGCUGGUUUUGGAAGUUGGGUAAUAACAAGUACUAUACAGAAGCUCCACUAUGAUCAGUACCACUUUAAUGUGAGAAUGAUUUUAUUCCAUUGAUUCCUUUUUCAUGGAAUAUUUGGCUGAAUUUGCAAAUAUGGUUGCAAAAAAAAAACUGGAACUUGUCUUUUUUAUAUUUGAGUUACUUAAUUAAAUCUGAAAUAUUUCUAAGUAAUAUACAUCUACUCCCUGAGUUAUGAAGAUGUAAUCUGAUGACCCCAUCAUAACUAGGAAAUAUUGCAAAUUGACCCAUGACCUAGCCUACCCAGUCUUCUAAGAAUGGUGAUCAGUAUGGGGUAUUAUACUGUAAUUUGUUAACUUAACUAAUUACAAUAAAUUUGGCUAAUGCAAAUUCAUAAGUCAAACUAUCAUAACUGAGAUUAUUUGUACAGGGUUAUGACGAUCAGCAGCAGUACAGCAACAGUUCUUUUGUUUGUGUUUUGAGUUAUGUCUUCAUGUGUCUCAUCUUUAUAUACAAGUAAGUUACUUUUUGCAAAGGUUCUAAAGGUUUGACUCACUGCCUUGCAAUAAACUUAGUUUUAAUAAUAUGCAAUUAUUUUCUUAUUGUUAAAAUAAUAUUCAAAUGUUUGUAUUUCCAAGAAUUAGAUUUUGAAUAAAAUAUUAAAAUUGA